AACGAACGCUGGCGGCGUGCCUAACACAUGCAAGUCGAACGAGAAAGGGGCUUCGGCCCUGAGUAAAGUGGCGCACGGGUGAGUAACACGUAGGUAACCUGCCUCUAAGAUUGGGAUAACAUGUCGAAAGACGUGCUAAUACCGAAUAAGACCACAGUUUCCUCGGAAACAGGGGUCAAAGGUAGCCUCUAUUUAUAAGCUAUCACUUAGAGAUGGGCCUGCGUACCAUUAGCUAGUUGGUAGGGUAACGGCCUACCAAGGCAAAGAUGGUUAGCUGGUCUGAGAGGAUGAUCAGCCACACUGGAACUGAGACACGGUCCAGACUCCUACGGGAGGCAGCAGUGGGGAAUAUUGCGCAAUGGGCGAAAGCCUGACGCAGCAACGCCGCGUGAGUGAUGAAGGCCUUCGGGUCGUAAAGCUCUGUCGGAGGGAACGAAUGUUUCUGAGGUUAACAGCCUCAGGAAGUGACGGUACCCUCAAAGGAAGCACCGGCUAACUCUGUGC
rnacentral:rRNA from 1 species